AUGAAAGCCAUUCUCGUCUUCGCUCUCAUUGCCAUUUCGAUAAUUUCUGUGAACGCCGGUAUGAUGACUGGAGGAUCUGUUGAACAAGAUGCAUCUCAAAAGGAGUAUUCUGACAAAGCCUGGAAGGCUGUGAAAGGCAUCAACGAUCAGGCAUCCAACAACGGACCUUACUACUACGCCCCGAUUAAGGUUUGUGAUCCUUAUGAAAGAGGCGCGGAAGACAGAACAGCUCUUGCCAAUUUUAAGUGAACGAAACAUUUUUUUUUAGUUGUUAAAUAUUCUUCCUCGUCUGAAAUUAAUGGAAGAGCGAAAAAAAAAACGAUUAAAAACUACUCUUUGAAAUUUUUCGCGUGAGCUGACUGAUAUGUGACGAUCUUAUUUUAUUUAUCAAUCAACUUUAUUGACAGCUUGGCUUUAUACAAAAAUUACUGUCCGUUGGUGGUUGUUGUGGUUGGAGCGGCAGUAGUGCUCGCAACGUCGUGAUUAUUGAGCACAAUGAUAAGGAUUGAGCCUGCAAGCAGCGCUCCCCAAAUUCCCCAGAACAUCGCAAUUGCAGUGUAUCUGAAAAUAGAGAUUUAUUGAUUUAAAAGAAAUAGAUUUUAUCGAAAUUACUCACCUGGCAACUCUCCAUUUCGGUUCCUCCCUUUUAGCAUUGAGCUCAUCAAGACUGUACCCGAUUUGUGGAACCUCGGCAACCUGAAUAUCAACUUUAAAUUGCUUUCAACCCCACCUUGAACCUACUUUUCGUUGUUUGACGCAAUCACAGCUACAAUAUGAAUACUCACUGCUACAGCAGGAAUCUGUCACAGAGUCGGUUCUCAUUCUUUGAAAAAAUAAAAUCGAGAAAUGAAAGUUGGAAAAGAGAAAAUGAUUAAAAUUGUGAUAGAGCGUGCGAUCGAUACUAAACUAGAUAAGACGAAAAGCAAAUAUUUAAAACAAAACCAUAACAUGGGAAAUGUUUUUGAUCGAAAAGUGAAUGCGACAAGAACGGCUAGACGGGAUUAUUUGGCUGCCAGUGAGAGAGAGAGUUGCGGGGGAAUACAUGAUUUCCGUAUUUUAAAAUUGAUUUUUUCAGGUCACAAAGGCCUCAACCCAAGUUGUCGCUGGAAUCAGCACCAAGCUCGAGGUGCUCGUCGGUGAAUCGAACUGCAAGAAGGGAGAGUUGCAGGCUCACGAGAUCACUUCUUCCAACUGCCAAAUCAAGGAUGGUGGAAGCCGUGCUCUGUACCAAGUCACCAUCUGGGAGAAGCCAUGGGAGAACUUCGAGCAAUUCACUGUGGAGAAGAUCCGCGAUGUUACCGCUGACGAGCAGUUCUAA